rnacentral:rRNA from 1 species
UACGUAGGGUGCAAGCGUUCAUCGGAAUUACUGGGCGUAAAGCGUGCGCAGGCGGCUUUGCAAGACAGAUGUGAAAUCCCCGGGCUUAACCUGGGAACUGCAUUUGUGACUGCAUGGCUGGAGUGCGGCAGAGGGGGAUGGAAUUCCGCGUGUAGCAGUGAAAUGCGUAGAUAUGCGGAGGAACACCGAUGGCGAAGGCAAUCCCCUGGGCCUGCACUGACGCUCAUGCACGAAAGCGUGGGGAGCAAACAGG